rnacentral:rRNA from 1 species
GAUGAACGCUGGCGGCGUGCCUAAUACAUGCAAGUCGAGCGAACGGACGAGAAGCUUGCUUCUCUGAUGUUAGCGGCGGACGGGUGAGUAACACGUGGAUAACAUACCUAUAAGACUGGGAUGACUUCGGGAAACCGGAGCUAAUACCGGAUAAUAUUUUGAACCGCAUGGUUCAAGAGUGAGAGACGGUCUUGCUGUCACUUAUAGAUGGAUCCGCGCUGCAUUAGCUAGUUGGUAAGGUAACGGCUUACCAAGGCAACGAUGCAUAGCCGACCUGAGAGGGUGAUCGGCCACACUGGAACUGAGACACGGUCCAGACUCCUACGGGAGGCAGCAGUAGGGAAGCUUCCGCAAUGGGCGAAAGCCUGACGGAGCAACGCCGCGUGAUUGAUGAAGGUCUUCGGAUCGUAAAACUCUGUUAUUAGGGAAGAACAUAUGUGUAAGUAACUGUGCACGUCUUGACGGUACCUAAUCAGAAAGCCACGGCUAACUACGUG